rfam:Aphanizomenon flos-aquae 2012/KM/D3 mira_330_len_T:4300, whole genome shotgun sequence.
CCAGCCCUAAAGGGACUGGGCUUGCAAGAGUAAUCAAGCAAGCCGUACUGACCAGACCACCCUGAGUUUACUCUCAUGGUAGCCGUUAUUUGAGUCACGACACCCCGGAAUGCGAAGCUAGUUCCCUGCUCUGUCGCUUGUGAUUAAACAGUUCUAAGGUCACUGGAACAGUGUUGCAAGCCUAACAAGCUCUUAUAACAGGUCGUUCGCGCCAGCGUGCCGGAGGCAUCUAGCUAACAUUAC